UAAUUUGUUUUCGAAAGUGUAGAUUAAUAUUUUUAGCCGAAACCGUUUAAAGUAGUAAAGAGUUGACCAAAUUUUUAGCUCUGAUUAAGAAUCGAACCAGUCUUUUCUGUUGUAAAUGACCUUUCAUUUUGUACUUAUCACAAAAAGAACAGAAAAGUUUCAAUGUACAAACUACAAAUCGCACGGUUUUUGCCGUAAAUAUAAGAAGAAUUUGCACACUUUUGGUGGUACUUAUUUAUUAAGAAGGAUGUCAAUCGUGUCAAGGGUUUGGUUUGGGCACAUAACACAAACAAAGCACAAACGUCAAACAGCAAAUACAUAUUUUUAUGAGCGAAGACUGAACCCGCAGCUAUCAGCGCAUCAGGUAGUGCUGCAUAGGGUUGCGCCAACUUGUCGUCAAAUCAUUGCUUGACGACAAUGUGUUAAAAAUUAUUUCAUUAACUAUGGACGUAAAUGAGUAAUGAUAAAUUAAUAUAAAAAAUAAAAAACCAAAAAAAAAUCACAAUUUUAUUUCAAACUAAUAAAUGAAAUUAAAAAUUAUAAAACAUGAUUAACAUGGUCCCAAUUGCUAAACAUUUUGACCAUACAUAGGUAUAGUUGAAACUAAAAAUAAAGAAAAAAAAGUCAAUCAAUAGAAAACUUGUUAGCACCCAAUUUAUAACCUAAUAAAAUCGUUAUUUUAUAAAUAAUACGUUUUUUUUUUAAAUUUCUUUCCAGAAAUGAAGUAUAAGUACAAUUCUUAAAAAUAAAAUGCCUAAGGAAUGUAGUUAGACAAUAGAAAGCUCCAAAAAAAAAACAGAUUAACUUUUUUUUCACACUCAUAAAACGUAAUAUUUUAUUUUACUCUUAUCUCUAGGAGUCUUCUCUACAUUGAUCUAUAAAUAUAGAUCAAUGCUUGUCUAUAAUAUUCUUUAUAAUUAUAAACUAUUUAUUUUUUAACAAAAUUUUAUAGGGAAUAGAAAGAUAAAUUAUCCAUAAAAUCAAUAUAUAUAUAUAUAUAUAUAUAUAUAUAUAUAUAUAUAUAUAUAUAUAUAUAUUAUAUAUAUUAUAUAUUUAUACAUAUUUAUAUUAUUUAUAUUUUAUAUGGGAACAAAUUUCAUACCAAUGUACUAAGUCCAGUUAUUAGAUUUUGAUAAGUCAUUAUUUGUCGAUUUAUUAGAAUCAAUAUAUAAGGUUUUUGACUCCUAACUGCGUUCCGUCAAAUGGAGGGUGGGUUCUGUAGGUCUAAUAGAUCACAAUACACGUGAAAAAAAAUUCCUAGCCUAUUUUUAAAUUAGACUGUUCGAAUAUACAAGCUUCUUUGAUAGACUCGUUCCACGUGAUACCUUUCUUAAGUGCGUAAGCAUGACUAUAAUUUACAAAGAAAAAUAUUCUGCAAGAAAAAUAAUUAGUUUCCACAUAUAUAUUUUUUUAUACAAUGAUAGGCUUGUGUUUGACCACUACUUCACCUGAUGAUAAGUGAAAAUGCGGUCUAAGAUGGAGCAAACUUACCUAGAAGUAACCUAUUCACUCGCCACUUAAAGAUCUUCAGGUUAUAGAUUUCUAUGAACACAGAUGCAAUUAGUAUUAAUAUUCCACUUUAUCGUCAAGUUUAGGGUUAUAAAAACAGUUUUGGAUGGUUAUGCAGUAUUACCUUAACAAUUUUAAAACAAAGUGAAAUUUAAAAAGGGGCUAGGAUUUUUUAAACGGUUUUAUUUAGCUCACCCCGUUUGUUUUAUUUUUUAUUUAUUAUUUAUUCUUGGGUCAAAUUUAGUAAUUCAAAUUUCACCCUCUUCCUGUCAACCGAUUAAUCUGAAAUUUUGUAUACACUUUGGAUUUUGGUGACAAUACAAUUAUGUUUAUUCAUUAUCAUUAUAAAUUCAAGAUGGCGGCCGCUACAAAAUGGCGGAUAACGUAGGUU
rnacentral:misc_RNA from 1 species